rnacentral:lncRNA from 1 species
GUCAGGAUUUUUCAUGGAAAUGAUGAGUAUGAAGCCCGCGAAAGGGCUUCUCAGACUCCCCUGGAGUCCAUCCAUGUGUUCUCAUUUAAGAACUCGUCCCUAAACUUCCAUGGAGAACCGUCACAAAGGAAUCCUAAUUCUCAUACUCUUUGAUAGGCUAAUUCCAAAAUAAAGAUUCCUAAAUCUAAAUUUUAAUAUGUAUUUUCCCUUUUAAAUUGUAUCAAAAUAGAAAUAAAUUUACCUUUUCAGAAAGCAUACUCUAAAUUAAAGUCGAACUACCUCUACUCCCUCCAC